UUACCCGCCGAACUUAAGCAUAUCAAUAAGCGGAGGA
rnacentral:rRNA from 1 species